AGCCCCGUCGUCUAGCGGACUAGGAUAGUGCCCUUUGGAGGCAUUGACCACGGUUCGAAUCCGUGCGGGGCUA
rnacentral:tRNA from 1 species